AUUGAACGCUGGCGGCAUGCCUUACACAUGCAAGUCGAACGGCAGCACGGGAGCAAUCCUGGUGGCGAGUGGCGAACGGGUGAGUAAUACAUCGGAACGUGCCCAAUAGUGGGGGGUAGCCCGGCGAAAGCCGGAUUAAUACCGCAUACGACCUGAGGGUGAAAGCAGGGGAUCGCAAGACCUUGCGCUAUUGGAGCGGCCGAUGUCAGAUUAGCUAGUUGGUGGGGUAAAGGCCUACCAAGGCUACGAUCUGUAGUUGGUCUGAGAGGACGACCAGCCACACUGGGACUGAGACACGGCCCAGACUCCUACGGGAGGCAGCAGUGGGGAAUUUUGGACAAUGGGCGCAAGCCUGAUCCAGCAAUGCCGCGUGCAGGAAGAAGGCCUUCGGGUUGUAAACUGCUUUUGUCAGGGAAGAAAUCUUCCGGGCUAAUACCUCGGGAGGAUGACGGUACCUGAAGAAUAAGCACCGGCUAACUACGUGCCAGCAGCCGCGGUAAUACGUAGGGUGCGAGCGUUAAUCGGAAUUACUGGGCGUAAAGCGUGCGCAGGCGGCUUUGCAAGACAGAUGUGAAAUCCCCGGGCUUAACCUGGGAACUGCAUUUGUGACUGCAAGGCUAGAGUACGGUAGAGGGGGAUGGAAUUCCGCGUGUAGCAGUGAAAUGCGUAGAUAUGCGGAGGAACACCGAUGGCGAAGGCAAUCCCCUGGACCUGUACUGACGCUCAUGCACGAAAGCGUGGGGAGCAAACAGGAUUAGAUACCCUGGUAGUCCACGCCCUAAACGAUGUCAACUGGUUGUUGGACGGCCUGCUGUUCAGUAACGAAGCUAACGCGUGAAGUUGACCGCCUGGGGAGUACGGCCGCAAGGUUGGAACUCAAAGGAAUUGACGGGGACCCGCACAAGCGGUGGAUGAUGUGGUUUAAUUCGAUGCAACGCGAAAAACCUUACCUACCCUUGACAUGUCAAGAAUUUUGCAGAGAUGUGAAAGUGCUCGAAAGAGAGCUUGAACACAGGUGCUGCAUGGCCGUCGUCAGCUCGUGUCGUGAGAUGUUGGGUUAAGUCCCGCAACGAGCGCAACCCUUGUCAUUAGUUGCUACAUUCAGUUGGGCACUCUAAUGAGACUGCCGGUGACAAACCGGAGGAAGGUGGGGAUGACGUCAGGUCCUCAUGGCCCUUAUGGGUAGGGCUACACACGUCAUACAAUGGCCGGUACAGAGGGCUGCCAACCCGCGAGGGGGAGCUAAUCCCAGAAAACCGGUCGUAGCCCGGAUCGCAGUCUGCAACUCGACUGCGUGAAGUCGGAAUCGCUAGUAAUCGCGGAUCAGCAUGUCGCGGUGAAUACGUUCCCGGGUCU
rnacentral:rRNA from 1 species